rnacentral:rRNA from 1 species
UACGUGAGGGGGCAAGCGUUGUCCGGAUUCAUUGGCGUAAAGAGCGUGUAGGCGGCCAGGUAGGUCGGUUGUGAAAACUGGAGGCUCAACCUUCAGAGGUCGACCGAAACCAUCUGGCUAGAGUCCGGGAGAGGAGAGUGGAAUUCCUGGUGUAGCGGUGAAAUGCGCAGAUAUCAGGAAGAACACCCGUGGCGAAAGCGGCUCUCUGGAACGGUACUGACGCUGAGACGCGAAAGCGUGGGGAGCGAACAGG